UACGGAGGAUGCAAGCGUUAUCCGGAAUGAUUGGGCGUAAAGCGUCCGCAGGUGGCUAUGUAAGUCUGCUGUUAAAGAGUGAGGCUCAACCUCAUAAGAGCAGUGGAAACUACAUGGCUAGAGUGCGUUCGGGGCAGAGGGAAUUCCUGGUGUAGCGGUGAAAUGCGUAGAGAUCGGGAAGAACACCAACGGCGAAAGCACUCUGCUGGGCCGAAACUGACACUAAGAGACGAAAGCUAGGGGAGCAAAUGGG
rnacentral:rRNA from 1 species